rnacentral:rRNA from 1 species
ACGGGAGGCAGCAGUGGGGAAUAUUGGGCAGUGGGCGCAAGCCUGACCCAGCAACGCCGCGUGAGGGAAGAAGGUUUUCGGAUUGUAAACCUCUGUCCUUGGGGACGAAGGAAGUGACGGUACCCGAGGAGGAAGCCCCGGCUAACUACGUGCCAGCAGCCGCGGUAAUACGUAGGGGGCGAGCGUUGUCCGGAAUGACUGGGCGUAAAGGGCGUGUAGGCGGCCGGAUAAGUUUGGAGUGAAAGUCCUGCUUUCAAGGUGGGAAAUGCUUUGGAGACUGUCUGGCUUGAGUGCGGAAGAGGUAAGUGGAAUUCCCAGUGUAGCGGUGAAAUGCGUAGAGAUUGGGAGGAACACCAGUGGCGAAGGCGACUUACUGGGCCGUAACUGACGCUGAGGCGCGAAAGCGUGGGGAGCGAACAGGAUUAGAUACCCUGGUA